rnacentral:piRNA from 1 species
UGUGCAUGUCGGGUCUCCUUG